rnacentral:rRNA from 1 species
GGAAUAUUGGACAAUGGGCGCAAGCCUGAUCCAGCCAUGCCGCGUGCAGGAUGACGGUCCUAUGGAUUGUAAACUGCUUUUAUACAGGAAGAAACCCUGGUUCGUGAACCAGCUUGACGGUACUGUAAGAAUAAGGAUCGGCUAACUCCGUGCCAGCAGCCGCGGUAAUACGGAGGAUCCAAGCGUUAUCCGGAAUCAUUGGGUUUAAAGGGUCCGUAGGCGGUUUAGUAAGUCAGUGGUGAAAGCCCAUCGCUCAACGGUGGAACGGCCAUUGAUACUGCUAAACUUGAAUUAUUAGGAAGUAACUAGAAUAUGUAGUGUAGCGGUGAAAUGCUUAGAGAUUACAUGGAAUACCAAUUGCGAAGGCAGGUUACUACUAAUAUAUUGACGCUGAUGGACGAAAGCGUGGGUAGCGAACAGGAUUAGAUACCCUGG